rnacentral:lncRNA from 1 species
GAAAUCCGCGACAUGCUGUGCGACUUCCCGGUGCAGUGCGUGCACAUCCAGAACGGCGGGACCGGCUCGAAGGCGGCCAAAGUGAUCCUGGAGGACCCGGAGAUGCUGGAGGAGUGGGAUCCGAACAAGAACUUCUUCCUGCGCGGCCAGAAGAUCCCCGUGAGCCCGGGCCCCACCGACGGGAUGCUCUGCGUCGCCCGACUCCCCCUCACCAUGACCGAGUCCCAGUUCACGGACCUCGUCCGCCCCUUCGGCGAAAUGAGGAGACAUUUCCUCAUGAUCAGCGAAAAGACCGGUGAAAGCAAAGGAUAUGGCUUUGUAGAAUACACUUCAAAAGACUCAGCCCUUCAAGCGAAGAGUUGUCUAGACGGAAAAUACUUAGAAGGCUGGAGUUUAGUCUGUGACUGGCUGGAUAGCCGCUUAUUAACCUUUGAAUCUCUUCAUUCAAAAUGCUUGUAUGUUGAUAAACUACCAAAGACUUCAGAGAUAUGAGCGAAUUCGAAAAGUAUUUUCCUCAGUUGUCAACCCUCCGUAUUGUCAGAUCGCCUUAAAAAAUGGUUAUCCACAAGAUUGGGGUCUUGUUGAGUACAGUAAUGCUGAAGAGGCCGAAGUAGCUCAAGUCUCUUUGAAUGGAUACGUUUUAAGAGGCCAGGCGAUUAGGAUUAGUUACUAUAUACCAGGAGUGCAUGCGAUUAAUUUGUACUUAAAACUUCUCAAUGAUACGUCAUCAAAAGGCAAAGGUGCUGGACUAUUACCAGAGCCAUCCUGUCAGACGAUUGUCCAGUCUCUGCAAAAUUUCAAAACAAAAUCCAAUCUUCGCUCAAAACCUCCAAAGUAUUAUUCUAUCUCAAAUCCAAGCAACCCAGAAUGGAGGGUCAGAAUCUGAAACUGUCAAGAAACCGACAGUGCCCACUGCAGGAACCAAUGGAACCGUUAAUCCAGCCAAAGGUGGUCCUCAGCGUAAUGGAACCAAUUCAACUAAUCCUAACAGGUUCACUCCAACUAAUGGUGUUGACUCAAAUAAGACGCCUACACCAUCAUUACCCUCAGUUCCUCGGAAAAACGGCUCCACUCUUCCGCAGAAUAUUUCCUAUCUAAAACCUAAUCAGAAAAUUGGAUUAGCAUCUAAUCCAACACCACCGAACGGCCCCAGCAGUGUUGUGAGCGUAAGUCCGCCAGUCGGUGAAAUCGCUCCUCAUACAUUAUCUGUUACAACGACAACUGAUGCCGAGAGCCAGGUUAAUCUUUGGAAUGGCUUAUUGCGUCAGAUGCCACCCCACACAGCGAGUUCCCUCCGCCACCGUUGGUGCAAGAUGCACCAAGAGCAGCGUAUCCAAUGGCUCCUCCGCAAUCAAGUUUCGUACCAGAUCUUGCCGCUAAUUUGCCCCUAG